rnacentral:lncRNA from 1 species
UAUGAGCAUCCAUCUAUCUAUACCUAUAUAUUAUCUUUCAUAAAGUUUGCCACGUGACAAUUCCUCCUCCACCCCCUUCCCACUCCUUAACGUUUCGCCUUCCCACCCCUAUCUCCGCUCGAUAUUUCGUCUUCCCACCCGUUUACUUUCUAAUUAAUAUAUUCACAUGAUUCAUUUUCAUCUAAACAAAUUACUUAUAAAAAAAUGAGUAAAAUAAGAUCUCUUCAUGCAUACUUUUUUUUUAUCUUUUUUUUGUGCACAAGAAAGAUUAAUUUUUUGUAUUUUUUUAUUUUUUUUUUCUAUUUUUUAAAAUUGUGUAGGGAUUGAAAUUAGGGUUCCGAGAAUUGUGCCGGUGCGGCGAAGUGAAAUGCAAUGAAUUUGGAGUUGAUGAGGGGGGGAGAAGCAAUCGGCGUGGGGGGAUCUGUAUGGAAUUGACAUGGCCGUGACCAAAGGAAAGCUCGAGUCGACAAUGGCGGUGGAGGCGACGUAGAGAAUGGGAAGUGCCUCUCCGAUCUCGGCAGCACGAUCAAGGUGCGUAUUGGAGUAGUAACUCAAUCUAUUACUGCUCCCUUCAUUAUUGUUAUGUAUAAUUUAUUUGCUACUGUUACUUUUGCUAUAUUUGUAUAUAUCUGUUUUAUAUUUUUUAUUUGUAUUUAUUGGCGCCGUAUGAUAAGUUAACUUUAUCAAACUUUCAUCUUCUAUAGUAUUAGUCCGCCGCAAUGUGCGGAUAACUUCACUAGUAAAUCAAUAAUCAUCAUCACUCAAUAAUAUAAUAUAAUAAAGAACUAGGCUAAUAUACUAUUAAUAGCACCAAGUCAUUGGUGCUACCAAGUUUUUGGCCAUUGGAUUAAGAAAUAUGCGGUUAGGAUGAUAUGGGCCCCCUAGGGUUGAGUGGGUGGUUGAUUGAAUAGUAUGAUCUAACGGGUGAAAAUGAUCAAAAGGGUAGAUCUAACGGCGGAAAACUUGAUAGCACCAAGUGCUUCGUGCUAUUAAUAACAUAGUAGCCGGACUCAUAUAAUAAAUAUAAUAAAAGUCUCUCUUUAGUUUGGGAAGAGAGUUGUGGGGCCCGCCUAUAUUUUUAUGAAGAAUUAAUUAUACUAUUGGUUUCCAACCUUUGUACUAUUUUUUACUUUGGUCCCUAACAAUUUUUAUUUGCAAUCAAAUUUUCGACCUUUUAAUUUCAUUGCGAUUACAUCU